rnacentral:ncRNA from 20 species
AAAUUAAAUAUUAAAUUGGGUGUUUCUAAUGAAACUUAAAAGGGAAAGUGGUGAAAAUCCACUGCAGCCCCCGCUACUGUGUGUGAGGACGAAUCAACAGAAGCCACUGGAUUUCUGGGAAGGCGUUGAUAGUAGGAAGAUUCACAAGUCAGGAGACCUGCCUAAAUUUAGAGCCUCGGA